ensembl:lncRNA
UGAUUAGCAAACAGUUAUAAAAAAAAUGUGAGGAAACAUAUUGCUAUUUAUAUCAAUUAAAAAGAGAUCAUUGAUCAAAUGGAUGUUCAUGUGAGGUUGAGCUAAUUAUCAAUCUAAUUGAAGUUAAAUAGCAUAAAUGGAAUUAGACAUGAAGUACAGUAUAUUCAUUUGUGGCUUUAAAAUUCAUUUGUCUGUAUAGUUUAAAUUGAAUGUUAAUAUUCUUUUGUUUUGUGAGCUUUGGUGCCCUCUUGUGGUCAGAGUUGGUACUUGGGAAGCUUGUUAUGCAAAGCAGGUAAAGUACAAGUGUGCACUUAGAAGUGAAACCUUGGCCCACGUACACCUGUAAGUUUUCCUGGUGUAUUAUAUUCAUACUGUUUGAUCUGUGAUAUACUACGAGAAUACUGAGCUACUAGUUCAGCUGUGUGGCUAUGAAUCAUUUUUAUAUCCAGUGCUAGUGAAUAUACGUUAGCAUGUGUUUGCUAACUUGUUAUGAAAAUGAAUAAUGCUAGUUCACUGAAUGUUAAGGCUAAUGUUAGAUUUAUAUUGUUGCUGUUUGCAAUUUUAAGUCUAAAUUAAGACAUUAUUUGUGCUCAGUGGAUGAGAAGAUAAUGAUCUGUGUUGUUUGUGUUUAUUUAGUUUUACAAAAAGGAGAAAAGGAGAGAGCAAGAGGAAAAUGGAUAUCAAAUACGAUGUAUAGAAAAUUCAAAGUAACGUGUCGUUGUAACCUGGAGAUGCAGACCAAAGGUGGUGCUGCAACACCAAACAACACAGAAGUAACCAGAGUUUUUACAUUGGCUCACAGACAUUGAAGCAGAUUUUGUGCUCUUUACAUGACUGUAUAUGUGGUGUCAUGGAUAGAAAAAUCUGCAGAAUCAUUCUGGCUUUGGAAUAUUUAGUUGAAUAAAAAAAAAAUGAAGUAAAAAUGGAAGAUGUGAGUGUGAAGGCGAAGGUGUGUGGGAGUCUCAGGGUGUCUAAAGAGAGUGUGUAGAAGGACAAAGGAGCAGCAGAGCAGUCCAGAUACACCGAUGACCCUCUGUCAGAUCCUGAGUGACACAAAGGGGAUGAUGGUGCACUCUAGGCUCUGUGACAGAGGAACUAUUCUUAGAGCAGUUCACUCUGCACUGACAGUUAUCUGCUCUUAUUUUCAUCCAUCUGUCAGUCACUGCUGGAUAAAGCACCCACCUCCCAGUAACAUGUCCCCAUCAGAGCAUCUGCACAUAAGCUGCUGCCAUCUCAACAACUCUGAAUCAUCAGGCCACAGCUCAUCCAGCUUCAGCACAAACCACCCUGUUUACCACCAUUCCCAUCAGAAGAGAAGAGAAGAGCAGGUAUUUAAGGCGAAUUGGUGUUGUACUCCUAACUUCAUAGUUUCCGUGAUUAGAUGUCCCAAAAGGAUUAAUAAAGUUCUAUUCUAUUCUCUCAGCUGUCAUGCUGGAGUGAACACACUGAAAUUAACCUGCACAGAGAUAUUUAACAUUAAGUUUGUUUCCUCUGUUGAUUUCGCUCAAGUCCAGGGUGAAAAUAAUCUGCUGAGAGUCCAGAAUGCCUCAUUACUGCAAAAAGACUUUUGUUCUACUAAGUCUCUGUCUGCACAUGUGUACACACUGAAAAAAUAAUCUGUUGGAGUAACAUGAAAAAAUUUACAAUGGCAAUAAAAUUAUAUUUUAUAAGCUUUACUUUUGCUUGAUAUAACUGCGCAAUGUUUAUAUUAAAUGAACAUGUCUUUUAUGCUAUUUUAUGCUGUUAUUUUUUUAUUCAUGUGAUGUCUUCACAAUUAUCUCAUGUUCAUUUUACAGAAAAUGUUCAUGUUUACACUUGACACAAUGCUACAUUUCAGCAAACUCCCAUGCUAACAAUGAGACUAAAAUGACAAAAUGUGGAACAAGCUAAGAGGUGUGAACGGGGUGUUACUUUUUACUGCACCAUGCUUCUUUAACUAUCUGUCUUUUCUCAGUCGUGCACAGAUUACCAGUCAACACAGUAAACAUGUGACACACAUGUUUUUGAACUGUAAUAUAACACAGCACUGACUAACACACUGCUGGAGCGCUAAUGCAACACCACUAGCAUGAUAAUGUGCACACUGAAAUUACUGCAAUGCUUCAUAGCAAAGUAAUAAAGCAGGACCUGCCCAAGCAAAGCCUGCCCUUUUCAAGACCAGCUGGAGAGCAGCCACUGUAAAAGUAAAAGUAACAUUCAACUCAGGAGAUUCGAUAGAGGCAGAAAAUAAGUGAUCAGUUUUGCCAAUAACAUAUUCCAGCACUUGUUCCAGAGCUUAGUGAGUCUUUCAGAUCAAAGGACAGUCCUUUGAUCCUCUAGUUUGCAUGGGCAUCUCUGCUUUUUGAGUGCACAGCAUUCUUACUGUGGUCUCCUCAGUCCUUGCAUGUGAAAUGAAUGCAAUGAAACCUGUUUCACAAGAUUCUGCUCUGCAACAAAUCAGAACUGAGGAAGAUGUAAGAUACCGGGACAAAAUGCCGCUUAGGUGAAUGAACUGAAUGUCUCAGAGCUUAGGAAUGUGAUUAUGCCAGUACUGACACAUUCACUGGAGUCAUAAGAGUCAUCCAGCAUGGAAAGACAGUUGGAGUUAAGGCCACACUGUCUUUGUCUGUCUUUGUAUGCUCUGCAACAGAUUCAAGAAGUCUGGGUAGAAUCAGUCUUUGACUUCAAGGAUCACUCUGCAGGCAUCACUGCGUGUCUCAACCUGUAAAAGAUUGAAAAAGGUUUGUCUUAAAAAGAUUGUUGCAUAUGCUUCAUGGGUACAGUCACGUUUACUGUGUUUUAUCCACAUAUUGACAAGAUUUUUUGUCACAAUAAAUAAGAAUACUAAAAACAAUAAAAAACAACACAACAACAAUAAUAAUAAUAAUCUUAAAAUAACUUUUCAU